rnacentral:rRNA from 1 species
GUGCCAGCCGCCGCGGUAAUACGAAGGGGGCUAGCGUUGUUCGGAAUUACUGGGCGUAAAGCGCACGUAGGCGGAUUUGUAAGUAGGGGGUGAAAUCCCAGGGCUCAACCCUGGAACUGCCUUCUAGACUGCAAGUCUUGAGGUCAGGAGAGGCGAGUGGAAUACCGAGUGUAGAGGUGAAAUUCGUAGAUAUUCGGUGGAACACCAGUGGCGAAGGCGACUCGCUGGACUGAUACUGACGCUGAGGUGCGAAAGCGUGGGGAGCAAACAGGAUUAGAAACCCCAGUAGUCC